ACAAAGGGAAGGUGUUAGCAUCCAAAGUGUCAUAGGUACUCCUAGGGAGCCUUUUUUUGUGUGCAUAUGUGUUUUUGUACAACUGAUGUUUGCAGACAAAUAGAAUGGAGGGAUGAGAAAAUAAUUCAUUAAUUAUAUUUUUGUGUUUGACAAGACCUUCGGACUUGUGCCUAGGUACCUGUAACACCCCAAAAUUUUCCCUCCUUAUUCACGCAUUCAUUUUUAGGUCAUUUAACAUUAGAUACAUUGCAUUUCAUCAUGUCAAUCAGGAUUAGCUCCAAG
rnacentral:lncRNA from 1 species